rnacentral:rRNA from 1 species
GACGAACGCUGGCGGCGUGCUUAACACAUGCAAGUCGAACGAUGAAGCCGGAGCUUGCUCUGGUGAAUUAGUGGCGAACGGGUGAGUAACACGUGAGUAACCUGCCCUUGACUCUGGGAUAACUGCGGGAAACUGUAGCUAAUACCGGAUACGACCCUCGGAGGCAUCUCCUGGGGGUGGAAAGAAUUUCGGUCAAGGAUGGACUCGCGGCCUAUCAGCUAGUUGGUGAGGGAAAGGCUCACCAAGGCGACGACGGGUAGCCGGCCUGGGAGGGUGACCGGCCACACUGGGACUGAGACACGGCCCAGACUCCUACGGGAGGCAGCAGUGGGGAAUAUUGCACAAUGGGCGCAAGCCUGAUGCAGCAACGCCGCGUGAGGGAUGACGGCCUUCGGGUUGUAAACCUCUUUUAGCAGGGAAGAAGCGAAAGUGACGGUACCUGCAGAAAAAGCACCGGCUAACUACGUGCCAGCCGCCGCCGUAAAAC